rnacentral:sRNA from 1 species
GUAUCUGUGGUCCGAGAGCGUCUGCGCC